UGGCUGAGCAUUGGAGAGCUUUCAAUAUCAUUUUGUCAUAAAAUUCUUAUAUUUUUUUUAAAACAUUCUGCAGUCCAUUUGAGCCACCAAAAUAGAAAAGCGCGCUAGGAUAUUUUUUAUUUAGACCUUGAUGUAAUUAUUUUUAUGUGAAAGUUUUCUAACCCCCAGUGAUUUUUUUGAAAACCCCCUCGCUCCCACCCGCAACCUUAGCCUCGUCUCUUCCUCAUUCCUCUCUCCUUUAUCUCUCCUCCCGCCGCCGCUGGUCACCGCGCGCGCCUCCUGACUCUCACCUCCACUCCGUCUAGGCGCCGCCAUCGCUCCUCCCUCUCGUAUUCUUGUAGAGCGGCAGUCCGACGCUGUGGCAACGGAAAGCGGAGCCCCGCAGAGUGGCAGCUGCGACGACACCGUGCUCGGUUGGAACUGGCGCCUCAGGGGCUGCGUGUGGUCCAGUCUGUCCACCCGACGGCCAAUGCCUGAAGCUCAAGGCCUGCGCGGUAUCGAGGCUGGACCAGGCUUCCCUCAUUGCGAGCUUCACCCAAUCUGCUCGCCGGCACCAGAGCUCCCAUGAGUAAGCGGCUGCCCAAACCCUCUAGAUCCGGUCGACGCGGCGUUGCGUGCUCGCGAUCUGGCGCCAGCACCCUCAGGCAGUGGCCUGUCUUCAACCAAGCACGGCGAGCUCCCUCCCUCGGCAGCAGCGGCACGGUGCAUGGCGAGCAUCUGUGGCGAUUCCUGGGCUAGGGAGAGGUAGCAGUGCAGUGCUGGCGCCCGCGAUGGGGAGCGACGGCGACCGAGCGGCGGCCCGCCUCCCUCCUUGCGAUGAGUGAUGGCUAGAGUUCGUCCACGGUCUCAUUCGAGACAUCCCCUUCCAUCCGUGGCUCGAAUCUGACCGGAGCCAGCGAGAGAGGGCCUGCAUCUGAGGAAGGCCCUGUGCUCCCGGCCGGCUUCUCCCAGGCCGUGUGCCACCCGCUGCUAGUGUUCAGGGGGCAGGACAUUUCAUCCGCGUCAGGGAGCGGCAUCAGCGCGAUGGGCACGACGCGCCGGAACUCAUCCUCACGGACAGACGGAUAGCAUAAGCAUACUCAGACAAGUGAAUGAGCGCAGCCUGCUACUUUGAGGAUUUUUAGCACCGUUGGCGUGCUGAGCGUUGCCUGUGUUCAUGCCUGCGUCGCCUAUGUUCCUUUUAGGUCUUCUCCGCCUGCAAGACCGCACCCGCACCGAAGCUGCGGCAAUUAGUUUGACUGCUGGUGUUCAUGUUGGUAAUUCAAGUAAAUGCCCCUGGAGACACGGCAGGUACUGUGAUAUCAUCAUGGAAGCAAGCGCAGGAAGCAAAGGUGGAAUAUCUAUCUUUCUUGUAUUCUGCAGUCUCAUCAACGUUUUUCCACCCGGGAUGGCAAUUUAAACCUGAAAUAUCUUGCUGGUUGGCUAUAUGGGACAGUAAGAUCUGAAGAAGUUUUUUUCAUUUGUAAUAAUGAUGAUGUAUUUAAUGACAAAAUCAUUGUACGAUAUAAUUAAAUCAGAGCAUUUUACAUGAGACGCCAAUAUAUAUGAAUUCUAACGAGUUUAAUGCA